CUGAGUCGUAAAAAACUCCCAACCCAUGUGAAUUUACCUUUGUUGCCUCGGCGGGACCUACCCUGUAGUUACCCUGUAGCUACCCUGUAGCCCGCCGGUGGACUAUUAAACUCUUGUUAUUUAAUGAUAUCUGAGCGUCUUAUUAAAUAAGUCA
rnacentral:misc_RNA from 1 species